UGCCCCAUGGCUGAGUUGGUUACAGCGUCCGACUGUUAUGCCUCACUGAGGACGGAACUCAGCAUUGCUGAAGACAUCGGAAGGUCGUGAGUUCGAGCCUCACUGGGGCAG
rfam:Daedalea quercina L-15889 unplaced genomic scaffold DAEQTscaffold_22, whole genome shotgun sequence.